rnacentral:rRNA from 1 species
GCGACGAAUCUUCCGCAAUGGGCGAAAGCCUGACGGAGCAAUGCCGCGUGUGGGAUGAAGCGCCUUCGGCGUGUAAACCACUGUCAGGUUCUAGGAACAAUGACCGGAACCAGAGGAAGGGCCGGCUAACCUCGUGCCAGCAGCCGCGGUAAUACGAGGGGCCCGAGCGUUAAUCGGAAUCACUGGGCUUAAAGGGUGCGCAGGCGGAUCGGAAAGCGUUUUGUGAAAGCCCCCGGCUCAACCGGGGAACAGCGGGGCGAACUACCGAUCUUGAGGCAGGUAGGGGCAGACGGAACUGUCGGUGGAGCGGUGAAAUGCAUAGAUAUCGACAGGAACACCAAUGGCGAAGGCAGUCUGCUGGGCCUGUCCUGACGCUCAGGCACGAAAGCGUGGGGAGCAAACAGGAUUAGAAACCCCAGUAGUCC